rnacentral:snRNA from 1 species
GGAUGUGAGGGCGGUCUGGCUGCGACAUCUGCCACCCCACUGAUCGCCAGGGUUGAUGCAGCUGGUCUGGCUGGCUAGGCUGGUGUCUUCCUCUUCCCUCACCACGCCACGUAUGUCCCUCGAGAAGCUACACACCGAAUACAUGAGACCCAAUCUUUGGUCAGGGGUAUUGGAAUAGCUGUGUCCUGCUAUGACCUCCAAACAAAUUCUCAAGUCAGACAUACGCAACAAAAACCUAGACAUUCCCUCCCUCUAUGGAUAGCUUCACUUAUUUAUAUCAAAGGGA